GACGAACGCUGGCGGCGUGCCUAAUACAUGCAAGUAGAACGCUGAAGAGAGGAGCUUGCUCUUCUUGGAUGAGUUGCGAACGGGUGAGUAACGCGUAGGUAACCUGCCUUUUAGCGGGGGAUAACUAUUGGAAACGAUAGCUAAUACCGCAUAACAAUUGAUAACACAUGUCAUUUAUUUGAAAGGGGCAAUUGCUCCACUACAAGAUGGACCUGCGUUGUAUUAGCUAGUAGGUGAGGUAAUGGCUCACCUAGGCGACGAUACAUAGCCGACCUGAGAGGGGGAUCGGCCACACUGGGAAUGAGACACGGCCCAGACUCCCACGGGAGGCAGCAGUAGGGAAUCUUCGGCAAUGGAGGCAACGCUGACCGAGCAACGCCGCGGGAGGGAAGAAGGUUUUCGGAUCGGAAAGAUCUGUUGUAAGUCAAGAACGGGUGUGAGAGUGGAAAGUGCACACUGUGACGGUAGCUUACCAGAAAGGGACGGCUAACUACGUG
rnacentral:rRNA from 1 species